rnacentral:rRNA from 1 species
GAUGAACGCUGACAGAAUGCUUAACACAUGCAAGUCUACUUGAUUCUACUUCGGUAGUUGAUGGUGGCGGACGGGUGAGUAACGCGUAAAGAAUCUGCCCUUUAGUUUGGGAUAACCUUUGGAAACGAAGGCUAAUACCGGAUAUUAUGGAGACGUCGCAUGACGACUCCAUGAAAGCUAUAUGCGCUAGAGGAGGACUUUGCGUCCCAUUAGUUAGUUGGUGGGGUAAUGGCUCAACAAGACCGCGAUGGGUAGCCGGCCUGAGAGGGUGAUCGGCCACAAGGGAACUGAGACACGGUCCUUACUCCUACGGGAGGCAGCAGUGGGGAAUAUUGGACAAUGGGCGCAAGCCUGAUCCAGCCAUGCCGCGUGAGUGAUGAAGGCCUUAGGGUUGUAAAGCUCUUUUAUCCGGGAAGAUAAUGACUGUACCGGAAGAAUAAGCCCCGGCUAACUUCGUGCCAGCCGCCGCGGUAA